GCGAGUAAUUGACCGCUGUACGCAAGUAUAGAGGAAAGUCCAUGCUUGCACAGACUGUGACGUCUGUAAUGUUUUUGUAGGAUUAAACGAUAAAUCCUAGCACCCUUAACUUGGUGACGGCGAUGUGAAACCUAAAGUUAGCAAUAACCACGGCGUAAUGUUAUAAAGUGCCACAGUGACGAAUCAAUUUGGAAACAAUUGAGUGAAACGCGGUAAACCCCAAAAGCAAGAAACUUAAAUUUCGGUAAAGGAACAAACAAUAGGUAAACGAAUCUAGCGUUU
rnacentral:RNase_P_RNA from 1 species